GUUAUUAUAUAUACAUAGUCACUUUAAUAACUUUACCCACAUGUCCAUAUGAUCUCAAUUACAUCGACUAACCGGUGCCCCCAGCACAUUGACUAUGUACCGGUACCCCCUGUAUAUAGCCGCGCUAUUGUUAUUUUACUGCUGCUCUUUAAUUAUUUGUUCAUUUUAUUUCCUUUUUUUGGUUGGUAUUUUUCUGAAAACUGCAUUGUUGGUUAAGGGCUUGUAAGUAAGCAUUUCACAGUUUCACUGCUGUAUUUGGUGCACGUGACUAAUACAAUUGGAUUUGAUUUGAGAUACAGGUGGAUUUCGAGGGAACCUGAACCUGUACAAGUUGUGUAAACCCCAACACUGGAAGAGAGUGCCAACAAUCCCCAAAGACUCAGACUCGUCCCUCCUGUCCCACUGGCAACCAAGCAAGAGUUUCUACAGGAACAUCAGUGUAAAGGGCUUGGUAGGAAACGUAUGUUCAUACAGAAUGUCAGACAUUACGCUUACAAGUAUUUGACCUUUUCCUGAUGAAACUUGAGAAAUGAAUAUACAAUUACAUUGAGUUAGAAUCAAUACUAUACAAAUUUGGUUCGUGAAGGCCAUUGACACUAAUAAGGGAUUUCAAUACGUAUCAAUGAGAUCAGCAUCAACACUGCUGGAGUAACAGAACAAUGGAUGACUUGGACUUCUUGCUGCAUGAAAAGACUGAGCACAAAUCUCUGUUGUGAAAAAUCCACUUAAUUCACUAAUAAAAACUUUACAAGGUAUAA